UACGUAGGGUGCGAGCGUUGUCCGGAAUUAUUGGGCGUAAAGGGCUCGUAGGCGGUUUGUCGCGUCGGGAGUGAAAACUCAGGGCUUAACCCUGAGCCUGCUUCCGAUACGGGCAGACUAGAGGUAUGCAGGGGAGAACGGAAUUCCUGGUGUAGCGGUGAAAUGCGCAGAUAUCAGGAGGAACACCGGUGGCGAAGGCAGGUCUCUGGGCAUUAACUGACGCUGAGGAGCGAAAGCAUGGGGAGCGAACAGG
rnacentral:rRNA from 1 species